UUCUUAUCGAGAGAGACGGAGGGAUUGGCCCGAUGAAGUCUCAGCAACCAGCUCAACAGUAUGGUGCUAAUUCCAAUUGGCAAAAUUUUAAGCCUGAAAGAUGAGAA
rnacentral:ncRNA from 2 species